GUAAGUAAAAGUCGUAACAAGGUUUCCGUAGGUGAACCUGCGGAAGGAUCAUUAUUGUAUAACCGAGGUGCGAGGGCUGUCGCUGACCCGAAAGGUCGUGCACGCCCGAGUGCCCUCACACACAUCCAUCUCACCCCUAUGUGCACCACCGCGUGGGUCCCCCUUUGGCUUGUUCGGAGGGGGGCUUACGUUUUCACACAAACUUUGUAUGCAGUGUAGAAUGUAUUUUUUGUUUUUGCGAUCACGCAAUCAAUACAACUUUCAACAACGGAUCUCUUGGCCCUC
rnacentral:misc_RNA from 1 species